rnacentral:rRNA from 1 species
UGAGUAACCUGCCCUUAACUCUGGGAUAAGCCUGGGAAACUGGGUCUAAUACCGGAUAUGACUCCUCAUCGCAUGGGUGGGGGGUGGAAAGCUUUUUGUGGUUUUGGAUGGACUCGCGGCCUAUCAGCUUGUUGGUGAGGUAAUGGCUCACCAAGGCGACGACGGAUAGCCGGCUGAGAGGGUGACCGGCCACACUGGGACUGAGACACGGCCCAGACUCCGUACGGGAGCAG